AACAAGGUCAGCUAAAAUAAGCUCUUGGGCCCAUGCCCCAAACAUGAUGGUUUGAGUCCAUCCUUUGUUA
rnacentral:tRNA from 1 species